rnacentral:rRNA from 1 species
GAACGCGAAGAACCUUACCUAAGCUUGACAUCCCUCGGACAGGUGUUUAAUCACACCCUUCCUUCGGGACUGAGGUGACAGGUGGUGCAUGGUUGUCGUCAGCUCGUGUCGUGAGAUGUUGGGUUAAGUCCCGCAACGAGCGCAACCCUUGUCUUUAGUUGCCAGCAUUCAGUUGGGCACUCUAGAGAGACUGCCAGGGAUAACCUGGAGGAAGGUGGGGAUGACGUCAAAUCAUCAUGCCCCUUAUGCUUAGGGCUACACACGUGCUACAAUGGGUGGUACAGAGGGUUGCCAAACCGUGAGGUGGAGCCAAUCCCUUAAAGCCAUUCUCAGUUCGGAUUGUAGGCUGAAACUCGCCUACAUGAAGCUGGAGUUACUAGUAAUCGCAGAUCAGAAUGCUGCGGUGAAUGCGUUCCUGGGUCUUGUACACACC